AACGAACGCUGGCGGCAUGCCUAAUACAUGCAAGUCGAACGAGAUCUUCGGAUCUAGUGGCGCACGGGUGCGUAACGCGUGGGAAUCUACCCUUGGGUUCGGAAUAACUGUUAGAAAUGACUGCUAAUACCGGAUGAUGACGUAAGUCAAAAGAUUUAUCGCCCAAGGAUGAGCCCGCGUAGGAUUAGCUAGUUGGUGAGGUAAAAGCUCACCAAGGCGACGAUCCUUAGCUGGUCUGAGAGGAUGAUCAGCCACACUGGGACUGAGACACGGCCCAGACUCCUACGGGAGGCAGCAGUAGGGAAUAUUGGACAAUGGGGGCAACCCUGAUCCAGCAAUGCCGCGUGAGUGAUGAAGGCCUUAGGGUUGUAAAGCUCUUUUACCCGAGAUGAUAAUGACAGUAUCGGGAGAAUAAGCUCCGGCUAACUCCGUGCCAGCAGCCGCAGUAA
rnacentral:rRNA from 1 species